UCUAAAAAGGCAAAUACAUUUUCUACUGUAAGGAAAUGAUUGGUCAUAUUUUUACCCUUAUUGCAAAGUUUGCUUUUAGACACACCUGGUUUUGGACAGAAUCAGUCAAAAAUAACUGGGGUUUUUCAGACUUUUGAGUUUUUAAAGAUGAACGUUUGUAAAUGUAAGCAGCAUUUUUUCUGAUGACGUUUCUUUGUUUUGCAGGUCAGAAUGAGGGGACUCUGACGAUGGCAGAGGAUGAGGUGCUGUACAUCAUCGAAGAGGACAAAGGCGACGGCUGGACGCGGGCCAGGAAGCAGAGUGGCGAGGAAGGCUACAUUCCCACUUCCUACGUAGAAAUCACCAUCGAGAAAAACAGCAAAGGUGCCGUGACGUACAUCUGAGGCGCCGGCGCCUCCUGUCUGUCGUUGCCUCCAUGUUUGCCUUCUAGCGUCAGCGUGGCGCCGCAGCAUCCAAACGCCGUCCGUCCCCCUGGACCGGUGCUGGGAGGGACAAACGGGACAAACCUGCUGAGCUCAGUAUCAAUCAGAUUAUUUGAGAUAACGUUAUGUAAUAUAUUAGAAACUUUUUAUUUUAUUUUUUGGAUGAAACAAUCAAGUUCCCUGAUUUUAAGCUCUCUUUGUGUUUUUUUGUGCAUUUUUGCACUAUUUUGUUAUCUGUGCCAUCCUGCCGGUUUGUCUUCAUUAAUGCAGUUUUUAUUCACACAAGUUCAUUUCAUGCAGUUUUUUAAGAAGUAAAAUAUUAAGAUGACUUUUUAUGCUUUUCUUCCUGCAAACAAUUCCCACCACAAACUGAGCUGCUUACACCUGCAGAGUUUCAGGAAAGUUUAUUUUAUCUUUUUUAGAUUUGCAGAGUUUUGUGCAGCCUCGUUCUGACCUCAUGCUUUCUCUUCAAUAGUUAUUAUUAUUACCAACAUUUAAAAACUUUAGGUACUUUCUCUUAGCGUUUAUUAAUAAUUGUACAAAAUUCUGAUUCUUAAAGUUUCUUGAUAGAAGUUGCUGCACAAAUGAACAUUUCCUUGUUUUCUGCAGAGUUCACAGUUCAGUUUGUGCAUAAAAUGAGCAAAUGUGAGGAUUUAGCCUGGUGGUUUGGUGGGGAUUCGGUGGAAGGAAGAAAAGCAACAUGGCCGUCUUUUAGGAUCUGGUUUCAUGUUCAGUAAGAAGGAUGUUUGUAUGAAGUUUGCAGGAUUAUUUCAAUAAUUCAGAUUUUAUUCUGCUGUGUGUUUCUUUUUGGUUUGUUCCAAAUCCAAGCUUUUAUUGUCUGUUUGGCAUAAACAAAUUAAAAUACUUGAAAGAA